AUGGGACGAGUCCUGACCGAGCACGCCGCGUGAGCGAUGAAGGCCUUUCGGGUUCGUAAAGCUCUGUCUGGCAGAGAAGAACAAGUACCGGAGUAACUGCCGGUACCUUGACGGUACCUGACCAGAAAGCCACGGCUAACUACGUGCCAGCAGCCGCGGUAAUACGUAGGUGGCAAGCGUUAUCCGGAAUUAUUGGGCGUAAAGCGCGCGCAGGCGGUUCCUUAAGUCUGAUGUGAAAGCCCACGGCUCAACCGUGGAGGGUCAUUGGAAACUGGGGGAACUUGAGUGCAGGAGAGAAAAGUGGAAUUCCACGUGUAGCGGUGAAAUGCGUAGAGAUGUGGAGGAACACCAGGUGGCGAAGGCGGCUGUUUUGCCCUGUAACUGACGCUUAGGCGCGAAAGCGUGGGGGAGCAAACAGGAUUAAAAUACCCUGGUAGUCCACGCCGUAAACGAUAAGGGCUAGUGUUUGGGGGGGUUUCCGCCCUCAGUGGUGACGUUACGGAUUAGGAUUCCGCCGGGGGAAAUCUGCCCCCAAGGGUUAAACUCAGGGAUGGACGG
rnacentral:rRNA from 1 species